CCCUUAGAUGUUCUGGGCCGCACGCGUGCUACACUGAGUGGAUCAGCGGGUCAGGUUGCGCGAAAGCGUUUCCUAAUCUUUAAAUCCGCUCGUGAUGGGGAUUGACGGUUGCAAUUUUCUGUCAUGAACGAGGAAUACCUUGUAAGCGCGGGUCAUCAUCCCGCGCUGAAUACGUCCCUGCCCUUUGUACACACCGCCCGUCGCUCCUACCGAUUGAGUGGUCCGGUGAGGCUUUGGGAUCUGAGCGGAAAGAGCGUUUCGCUGUUUCUGCUCGGAAAACUCAGUCGAACCAUAUCAUUUAGAGGAAGGAGAAGUCGUAACA
rnacentral:rRNA from 1 species